rnacentral:rRNA from 1 species
UGCCCUAGUAACGGCGAGUGAAGCGGCAACAGCUCAAAUUUGAAAUCUGGCUACUUUGUAGUCCGAGUUGUAAUUUGCAGAGGAUGCUUUUGGUGAGGUGCCUUCCGAGUUCCCUGGAACGGGACGCCAUAGAGGGUGAGAGCCCCGUACGGUUGGAUGCCAAACCUUUGUAUAGCUCCUUCAACGAGUCGAGUAGUUUGGGAAUGCUGCUCUAAAUGGGAGGUAUAUCUCUUCUAAAGCUAAAUAUAGGCUAGAGACCGAUAGCGCACAAGUAGAGUGAUCGAAAGAUGAAAAGCACUUUGAAAAGAGAGUUAAACAGCACGUGAAAUUGUUGAAAGGGAAGCGCCUAUGACCAGACUUGUCUCUAUCAGUUUUGCUAGUUUUCGGACUGGUUUACUCUGUUAGUACAGGCCAGCAUCAGUUUGUUGUUAGGGAGAAAGGCUUUGGGAAUGUGGCUCCUCCGGGAGUGUUAUAGCCCUUUGCAUAAUACCUUUCGGCAGACUGAGGACCGCGCUUCGGCAAGGAUGCUGGCGUAAUGGUCAUCAGCGACCCGUCUUGAAACACGGACCAAGGAGUCAACCUUAUGUGCGAGUGUUUGGGUGUAAAACCCCAGCGCGUAAUGAACGUGAACGUAGGUGAGAGCUUCGGCGCAUCAUCGACCGAUUCUGAUGUUCUCGGAUGGAUUUGAGUAAGAGCACACAGGGUUGGACCCGAAAGAAGGUGAACUAUGCUUGUAUAGGGUGAAGCCAGAGGAAACUCUGGUGGAGGCUCGCAGCGGUUCUGACGUGCAAAUCGAUCGUCAAAUAUGAGCAUGGGGGCGAAAG